rnacentral:rRNA from 1 species
AGUGACGUCAAGUCAUCAUGGCCCUUACGGCCUGGGCUACACACGUGCUACAAUGGUCGGUACAAAGGGUUGCCAAGCCGCGAGGUGGAGCUAAUCCCAUAAAACCGAUCGUAGUCCGGAUCGCAGUCUGCAACUCGACUGCGUGAAGUCGGAAUCGCUAGUAAUCGUGAAUCAGAAUGUCACGGUGAAUACGUUCCCGGGCCUU